CGGCAGACCGUCCCCACUGCUCGGGCCUCUGGCCUCCGGGAGCCUCGCUCUUCCCUGGGUCCGCUUCUCCCUGCAGCCUGAAGACCAAAACAUGAGGAACCAUGUCACAAAGCUCACGUGGCAAGCCUGAACGGUGGGAACACGUGCUUCCCAGAAUCCAGCUUCCCCGGUGAAGUAAAGAUCAGAGGCACCGCGAGUCCUCGCCCAGUCAGAAGGCUCCGGGCCGGAGCGGGACCGCCCGUCUCUCCGGACUGGGUUCGGAUUAUGGAUCCUGACCUGCGGCAUCUGCCCAGUCCCUUGAGUGAGAGAGGACGCUGCACAACGUCCCAGUGUACAGACAGACGGGAGCAACACAUUUAAAUCAAUGUUUAAUUGCGUUUAAAUCAAGAGAACACAAACAUCCUCACAACAAGAGAUUCGAAUCCGGGCUGACAGCGUGUUAAUUUCACGUUGGAAGGCAGAAAGAUAAAAAAUGUUACGAACCAGAACUUAUCAUCGUGGACCAAAACAAGUCGUUUUCGGUCUGCUUACAUACGAAUGCACACUUCUGGAGAGAUGCCAAAUCUGCCUUAAUCAACAAUGUCAGUCUUGGCCUCGAGUGGGCGAAUCGGCGAACACCGUUUAACAAUUCCUCAUAUAAAUGUCC